GCAUAUCAAUAAGCGGAGGAAAAGAAACCAACAGGGAUUGCCUUAGUAACGGCGAGUGAAGCGGCAAAAGCUCAAAUUUGAAAUCUGGCACCUUCGGUGUCCGAGUUGUAAUUUGAAGAAGGUAACUUUGGAGUUGGCUCUUGUCUAUGUUCCUUGGAACAGGACGUCACAGAGGGUGAGAAUCCCGUGCGAUGAGAUGCCCAAUUCUAUGUAAAGUGCUUUCGAAGAGUCGAGUUGUUUGGGAAUGCAGCUCUAAGUGGGUGGUAAAUUCCAUCUAAAGCUAAAUAUUGGCGAGAGACCGAUAGCGAACAAGUACAGUGAUGGAAAGAUGAAAAGAACUUUGAAAAGAGAGUGAAAAAGUACGUGAAAUUGUUGAAAGGGAAGGGCUUGAGAUCAGACUUGGUAUUUUGCGAUCCUUUCCUUCUUGGUUGGGUUCCUCGCAGCUUACUGGGCCAGCAUCGGUUUGGAUGGUAGGAUAAUGACUAAGGAAUGUGGCUCUACUUCGGUGGAGUGUUAUAGCCUUGGUUGAUACUGCCUGUCUAGACCGAGGACUGCGUCUUUGACUAGGAUGUUGGCAUAAUGAUCUUAAGCCACCCGUCUUG
rnacentral:rRNA from 1 species